GUAUUUGUGUAUGCUAUGCUGUGCUAAGUCACUUCAGUUGCAUCUGACUCUUUGUGACUGUAUGGACUAUAGUCUGCCAGGCUAUUCUGUUCAUGGGGACUCUCUAGGCAGGAAUACUGAAGUGGGUUGCCAUGCCCUCCUCCAGAGGAUCUUCCGGGCCCAGGGAUUGAACCUGCAUCUCUUAUGUCUCCUGCGUUGGCAGGCAGAUUCUUUAUGACUAGCACCACCUGGGAAGCCUGUAUUUGUGUAUAGCAGUUUUGAAAUUGGGAAGAGAUGUGGGCUUGAUCCCUGGGUCAGGAAGAUAAUAUGGAGAAAGAAAUGGAAACUCACUCCAAUAUUCUUGCCUGGGAAAUCCAUGGACAGAGGAGCCUGGAUUCCUGUGAGAACCACAAAGAAUAUCAAG
ensembl:lncRNA